AUGGAUGUGCCCACUAAGCUCCUGGCAUUGCUGCUGCUGUGGCUUAAAGAUGCCAGAUGUGACAUCCAGAUGACUCAGUCUCCAGCCUUCAUGUCUGCAUCUGUGGGAGAAAGUGUCACCAUCACAUGUCAAGCAAGUGAGAAUAUUGACAGUUAUUUAGCAUGGUAUCAGCAAAAGCCAGGGAAAUCUCCUCAGCUCCUGAUCUAUGAUGCAAACAGCUUGGAAGAUGGAGUGCCAUCGAGGUUCAGUGGCAGUGGAUCUGGCACACAGUAUUCACUCAAGAUUAACAGCCUGCAGCCUGAAGACAUUGCAAGUUAUUACUGUCAACAUUAUUAUGGUACUCCUCACAGUGAUUCAAGCCAUGACAUAAACCACCCAGGGAAGCAGAAGUGA